CGGGAAGCGGCGACGGGAUGCUGGUGGGGGGACCCCCGCGCUCUCCGGGCGACCCUCUGCAGCCUCUACUCUGCCCCGUCUGUCAUCUUCUCCCGACCCGGCGACCCCGUUCUCCCCCUCGCCCCUCAUUCCCCGGGACUGUCCUUCUUAACAGCGCCCUUCACCCCGCCCGGCCCGCGAGGUAGUCCUCAGCAGGGGACAAGGUCCGGACGUGGCGCCCCCAGAAGGAGCGCGGAGAGCCCCUGGGACCCAGUCCCGCCAGGAACCGUUCUCGCUAUGUUGCCCAGGCUGGUCUUGAACUCCUCAGCUGAAAUGAGCCUCCCACCUCGGCCUCCCAAAGUGCUGGGAUUACAGGCGUCCCCUCUGCCCCAGUACUGUUUCCUCUCCCCAGCCCAGCCCCCACAGCUGCCUGCCCUGGCCUCACUCCCUGGCCUCCCCCAUCCCAGCCUCUGGGUCCCUGAGUCAGUCCCUGGGGCUGUCUGCCUUCUAGGGGAGCCUCUGGUGUGGACCAGAAAGUAACCUAAUCCCUUCCAGGCCCACCCUGGAAACAAAGGGAUUUGUCCACUAGCCUGGUGGUGAGAACCAUGUGGCCUCCUGUCUCUGGCAGAGAGGACUCCAGGAUCAAGGGCAGAGAUAGGAUCUUGCUAUGGUACCCAGGCUGGUCUUCAACUCCUGGGCUCAAGCAAUCCUCCUGCAUUGGCCUCCCAAAGUGCUGGAAUUACAGGCAUGAGGCAGCACGCCCAGCCCUAAUUACUUCUAUUACGCCAAAUUCCUUGUGUGGAAUUCCUGUGCUUUGCACACAAAUUGCCAGGUUGGCCCCAAAGGGGAAAAAAGUGGAUCCCAUUUUCCCAUCUUCUAUGCCUACGUGGCUGACAAAUCUCCCGAAUCCCACAGGAGCUGUCGCUGAUCUUUGUCCUCUAUUCGCUGAAAUAAAGUUCACCAUGGA
rnacentral:lncRNA from 10 species